GACUCCUUAGCUGUCUCGUACAGGACAGCCCUGGCCACCAGCAGGGCAGCCGGGAGACUGUGCCGGGCCCGCACAGGAAGUCCCUGGUGGAGGCCAGAUCUCCAGUCUGUGCCCUGUUAGCUGUCCCACUGCCCACUCGAUUUCGUGCACACUUGGAAGCCUGAAGACCUCAAUCCGGGCCCACACUCUACGACCGUCUCGCUCUGGGCUCCUGUAAGGCCGGACCCCGCGGGCCAUGAUGGGCCGCCCCUCCUCUCCCUCCUGNNNNNNNGGGAAGUCCCUAUCGGAAGGAGCCUCGCAGAUCCCAGGACCGAUGACAGCACACUUCGGCAGCUAAAGCCGCCCCACCCCAGCCACGAAGAAGGACCUGUCAGCCUGUGAUGCCUGGGCGUGGCGACCUAUCUGACCCCCAUCCAUCUAGCCUGACCAUCCCUUGCAACGAACGUAUAAAAGCCACCCCCCACACGAUCUGGGCCACGGACUUCCUUGACCUGCCUCUUUCGGGUCUGGGAACCCCGCCCGGGAGCGCUUCGCCAUUACAGAGCCUGUUAGACACUGUUUGGGUGUCCUGGUCUUUUACCUAAUAUUUACAAUGUUGUGUUAGUUUCAGUUAUACAGCUAAGUGAGUCAGUUAUACAUAUAUCCACGCUUUUCUAGAUUCUUUUUCCAUAUCGGUCAUGACAGGGUACUGAGUAGAGUUCCCUGUGCUGUACAGAAGGUCGUUAUUCCUCAUCUAUUUUAUAUAUAGUACUGUGUACAUGUCAACCUCAGUCUUCCAAUUUAUCCCUCCCCUCCUUACCC
rnacentral:lncRNA from 1 species